rnacentral:rRNA from 1 species
GAUGAACGCUGGCGGCGUGCUUAACACAUGCAAGUCGAGGGGCAUCAGGAAGGAAGCUUGCUUUCUUCGCUGGCGACCGGCGCACGGGUGAGUAACACGUAUCCAACCUGCCGAUGACUCGGGGAUAGCCUUUCGAAAGAAAGAUUAAUACCCGAUGGCAUAGUUCUUCCGCAUGGUAGGACUAUUAAAGAAUUUCGGUCAUCGAUGGGGAUGCGUUCCAUUAGCUUGUUGGCGGGGUAACGGCCCACCAAGGCAUCGAUGGAUAGGGGUUCUGAGAGGAAGGUCCCCCACAUUGGAACUGAGACACGGUCCAA